CGUCUGUCUGGCACCUGGUACAUGGACUGGCUGUCGUUUACCUCGUUGCUCUUACCUUCCUCCUUUUCCAGAAUCGUGACGAUGCUCGCCAGUUCAUGAAACUCCUUCACCCUGAUCUUGGAGUUGAAUUGCCAGAGAGAACUUAUGGAGCUGAUUGCCGUUUGUAUGUUCCAGAAAACCCUAAAAACAAGUUCAUAAAUAUUUAUGAGACAUUGUUUGAUGAAUUUGUUGUUGCCCAUAUCCUUGGGUGGUUUGGCAAAGCUGUGAUGAUACUG